GAAUGAUUCUUAGAGUCCGCAAAAAGGAUAAAUCCCAUCAGAAGUCCGCAGUUAAGCGUGCUUGGGCGAGAGUAGUACUAGGAUGGGUGACCUCCCGGGAAGUCCUCGUGUUGCAUCCC